GAUGAACGCUGACAGAAUGCUUAACACAUGCAAGUCAACUUGAACUUCGGUUUGGGUGGCGGACGGGUGAGUAACGCGUAAAGAACUUGCCUCACAGUUAGGGACAACAUUUGGAAACGAAUGCUAAUACCUGAUAUUAUGAUUUUAGGGCAUCCUAGAAUUAUGAAAGCUAUAUGCGCUGUGAGAGAGCUUUGCGUCCCAUUAGCUAGUUGGAGAGGUAACGGCUCACCAAGGCGAUGAUGGGUAGCCGGCCUGAGAGGGUGAACGGCCACAAGGGGACUGAGACACGCCCCGUACUCAUACGGGAGGCAGGAGUGAGGAAUAUUGGACACGGAACCAAGAGUCUGAUCAAGCAAUUAUGUGUGCACGAUGAAGUUUUUCGGAAUGUAAAGUGCUUUCAGUUCGGGAGAAAAAAAUGACGAUACCAACAGAAGAAGUGACGGCUAAAUACGUG
rnacentral:rRNA from 1 species